UACGAAGGGGGCUAGCGUUGCUCGGAAUCACUGGGCGUAAAGCGCACGUAGGCGGAUUGUUAAGUCAGGGGUGAAAUCCUGGAGCUCAACUCCAGAACUGCCUUUGAUACUGGCGAUCUUGAGUCCGGGAGAGGUGAGUGGAACUCCGAGUGUAGAGGUGAAAUUCGUAGAUAUUCGGAAGAACACCAGUGGCGAAGGCGGCUCACUGGCCCGGUACUGACGCUGAGGAGCGAAAGCGUGGGGAGCGAACAGG
rnacentral:rRNA from 1 species